CUCUCUCUGACUCUGCUCUGAAGCAUCAACACCUACACAGUGCAUGGGUAGCCUUUCCACCAGAAAACGGCUACCGUCCGUACCAUUCUCUAUGGAGACGUUCUUCUGAUUGGGUUCUCCAUUCGAUCGGACCCUACACGUGUCCAUGAGAUGCAUACAUUACACAUAGAUACAUGGACAUGCAUCAGUGAUCACUGAUGAGCGAUCAGAGAGAGCCAUGGGACUUCUGUGAUCAAGAGAAAGAGAGUACCUUUUCCAUUUCUUGAAAUUACAAAACAAACACAGAGUCAUGUUGUGUUGUGUGGCCUGGUGUGGGGGCACCAACCAUUUGCAUUUAUUCACCACUACACAAUAUUAUAGAGUUUGUAUGUGUGUGGCAGAGAGGUAUCUUCAUCAAUGCUGCCUUCAUUCAUCAUCACUCACAACUCUCACGUCUCUUCCUCUCUAUCAAGAUCAAGUCUCACUCAUUCCUUUUGCUCUUAUCUCUCACACUAAGCACGUCACUCCAUUCUUCCAUAUUUUUUUUCUUUUUUUCUCUCUCUCAGGUUUUCGCCUGUUUGCUGUGAUCUUCUAUAGACCCCACAGUCCUAACUGCAGUUAAGCGUGUAGCCAUUGGCUACCACUCGGGACUGUUGUUCAGACAGACACAUCUCUCUCUUAAUUACGAAUAAUACAAGCUGGUUUUAA